CUACGUGCCAGCAGCCGCGGUAAUACGUAGGGUGCGAGCGUUAAUCGGAAUUACUGGGCGUAAAGCGAGCGCAGACGGUUACUUAAGCAGGAUGUGAAAUCCCCGGGCUCAACCUGGGAACUGCGUUCUGAACUGGGUGACUAGAGUGUGUCAGAGGGAGGUAGAAUUCCACGUGUAGCAGUGAAAUGCGUAGAGAUGUGGAGGAAUACCGAUGGCGAAGGCAGCCUCCUGGGAUAACACUGACGUUCAUGCUCGAAAGCGUGGGUAGCAAACAGGAUUAGAUACCCUGGUAGUCCACGCCCUAAACGAUGUCAAUUAGCUGUUGGGCAACUUGAUUGCUUAGUAGCGUAGCUAACGCGUGAAAUUGACCGCCUGGGGAGUACGGUCGCAAGAUUAAAACUCAAAGGAAUUGACGGGGACCCGCACAAGCGGUGGAUGAUGUGGAUUAAUUCGAUGCAACGCGAAGAACCUUACCKGUCUUGACAU
rnacentral:rRNA from 1 species